rnacentral:rRNA from 1 species
GAUCAUGGCGUCAGGAUGAACGCUGGCGGCGUGCUUAACACAUGCAAGUUGCGCGGUGAUCUCAAGAAGUUUCGGACGGAAAGGGAGAGCAGCAGCGGACGGGUGAGUAAAGCACAAGGACUUGUCCCGAAGAGGGGGACAACUGUGGGAAACCACAGCUAAUACCCCAUAAGCCGAGAGGUGAAAGCAGUAAUGCGCUUUAGGAGAGACUUGUGUCCUAUCAGGUAGUUGGUGAGGUAACGGCUCACCAAGCCGAAGACGGGUAGCCGGACUGAGAGGUUGUACGGCCACAUUGGAACUGAGAGACGGUCCAGACUCCUACGGGAGGCAGCAGUGGGGAAUAUUGGGCAAUGGGGGCAACCCUGACCCAGCGACGCCGCGUGAGGGAAGACAGCCUUCGGGUUGUAAACCUCUGUUGCAGGGGAAGAAGAAAGUGACGGUACCCUGCGAGGAAGCUCCGGCAAACUACGUGCCAGCCGCCGC